rnacentral:tRNA from 1 species
GGGUCGUUAGCUCAGUUGGUAGAGCACCUCCCUUACAAGGAGGGGGUCGGCGGUUCGAUCCCGUCAUGAGCCUCCA